AACUUUCAACAACGGAUCUCUUGGUUCUGGCAUCGAUGAAGAACGCAGCGAAUGCGAUAAGUAAUGUGAAUUGCAGAAUUCAGUGAAUCAUCGAAUCUUUGAACGCACAUGCGCCCAUUAGUAUUCUAGUGGGCAUGCCUGUUCGAGCGUCA
rnacentral:rRNA from 1 species